ACAACUUUAUUUUUGUUAUCGCUCAUAAUCUAAACGUCUUCGUUCAACUUCUAUUCGUUUUCAGCAUCCACAACUUCUCGUGAAGCAACAACCAAUUCGUUUUCAGCAUCCACAACGUCUCGUGAAGCAACAACCAAUUCUAUAUCGACCACACCAAAUCCCACUUCAACUACAAGAUCAACUACAACACGAGACACCACAACGAUGUCCACGACGGAAUCCACCACCUCACACCCUACGACAACUACUCACAAAGACACCAUCCCUACUAGCACAACUACCACAAAGUCAAGGGUUUUAUCAUCAACAAGUACCCUGACCGACGAAGCAAGUAGUGAGACACCGCAACCAACGACCACGGCAACGUCAUCAUCGACAACGGAAUCUCCAACAACGCCUUCACAAGACCGUGAGACUAUAUUUUCAUUGGCGAACUACUCUGAUAAACAAGAAAAUACGUUAAU